AACGAACGCUGGCGGCAGGCUUAACACAUGCAAGUCGAGCGCCCCGCAAGGGGAGCGGCAGACGGGUGAGUAACGCGUGGGAAUCUACCCAUCUCUACGGAAUAACGCAUGGAAACGUGUGCUAAUACCGUAUACGUCCUUCGGGAGAAAGAUUUAUCGGAGAUGGAUGAGCCCGCGUUGGAUUAGCUAGUUGGUGGGGUAAAGGCCUACCAAGGCGACGAUCCAUAGCUGGUCUGCGAGGAUGAUCAGCCACACUGGGACUGAGACACGGCCCAGACUCCUACGGGAGGAAGCAGUGGGGAAUAUUGGAAAAUGGGCGCAAGCCUGAUCCAGCCAUGCCGCGUGAGUGAUGAAGGCCCUAGGGUUGUAAAGCUCUUUCACCGGUGAAGAUAAUGACGGUAACCGGAGAGGAAGCCCCGGCUAACUUCGUGCCAGCAGCCGCCGUAAGAC
rnacentral:rRNA from 1 species